GAUUGCCUAGGGGUGGUGCGCCAUGAGCUCAGUCGCUCAGUCGUGUCCAACUCUUCUGCAACCCCACGAACUGUAGCCCACCAGGCUCCUUUGCCCAUGGGAUUUUCCAGGCAAGAAUACUGCAGUGGGUCGCCAUUUCCUCCUCUAGGGGAUCUCCUUGAUCCAGUGAUCGAACCUGCGUCUCCUGUGUCUCCUCUAUUGGCAGGUAGAUUCUUUACCACUGAACCACCUGGCAAAUCCUGAUCCUGAGUCCCUGGAUCAAGCCGUACCUGACACAAACACUCAUUUCUCAAUGAGUGCCUAAAUGGACGUCAGUGGAGAGGAAGAUUACAGAAGCCUCUCCUGCUUUGUUCUUUUAGAGGACCAGAAAGAAACCAGCCUUGUUUUUUUUGUUUGUUUUUAUAAAUUCAAAUCUUUAUUGAAUUUGUUACAAUAUCGCUCCCAUUUUUUUUUUUUUUUUUUUAAUGUUUUGGUGUUUUGGCUAUGAUGCAUGUGGGUGCUUAGCUCCCUGACUAGGGAUCAAACCCACACCCGCUGCAUUGGAAGGUGAAGUCUUAACCACUGGACCACCAGGGAAGUCCCCGAAACCAGCCUUGUUUAAGUGCCUGCUCUGUGCCAGCUGAGGGAACUAAGGCCCAGAAAGGUGAAGUAACUUGUUUAAAAUAAAACCUCUAGCGAGCAGGAAAGCAAGAACUUGAACCCAAGUCUGUCUGGCUCAAGGAUUGGCAGUUUUCCAACUGCUGUGUUCCUGAGUGAAGCUGACAUGGAGCAGAGCUUCAGCUGGCCCAAAGUGGGCAUGUGAUGCGGACCAGAAAUAACUCUUUGUUUUUAAUCUGCCACUCCUGGGUUGUUGCUGCAGCAUAAGCUACCAGUCCUAAUGCAAGGCAUACUUGUUACUGCGCAUCUAAGCCACACUCUCCAGCAGUCAUGUCAGAGAUGGAUGGACAUCUCCACUGCCCCACUUUUUUCCCCUUUGCUCAAACUCUGAUGGGAUAGAGGCUCUUAUUUCAGCUCCCUUACACUCUGAUAAUGUCCAGUUUGCAGAACUACAGGUGAUGAUGAAUCCUGCACUUCAGUCUACAAAAAGGAAGGUUGGAAGCAUUGGUAGAAAAUGUAUUGGUGAGUUCUGAUGUUGUGAAGUGAGUGGAAGAUUAUUUAGAUAAACGGAUUAAUCUGAUUGAAAUGGUUCCCAGAAGUAAAUGUCAAUGAACCAGACGUGGUAAUUUCUUGCUCAUGAAGUAGUGUUAGUAUGCAUGUGAUUUGAACUUUAUGUUAAAACACAAGCACAAGAUUGCCUCUUGGGCUAUGGAUGGUAUAAAUGGGCUGGGGCCACCAUGAAUGAGAACGGUUUGUGUCAGAUAUGGUUAGCUCAAGCAGGAUGAUGAGUGAGAGUGGAGCUUCCUAGAAUGUGGUGGUGAAUCACAAACAAUACGCCAAGGCCAGAAAUAUAUAUAUUUAGUAUAGAAAUUAACACAAAGCUAUCUGUAAACAUCUAAGCAGAUUCCAAAUGUGCUGGAGGUUUUGCUUCAGUGCUUCAGAAUAACAAGUGUUGCCUUCAGAGGGAACAAUUGUCCUCUUAAAAGUGUGUGCGGGAUCUAAGGAGAGAGAGAGUCACACAGUCAUGUACACGUUUCCCAAAUUGGAUUGCUGUUAAAAUGUCUGCUCAAAGAAGGGUUCUGUGAUUCAAUAACAAAACAAACAAACAAGCAAAAAUCAAGGAAAUAUGGAGUUAAAGAAGUUUCUUUACUGCAGAACUCCUCAAGGGCUUUAAUACAUUAAUGUUGAUUGUGAUUCUCCAAAAGUAGGCAGUAAUCACUGCCUGACUUUUUUUCUGAGCUUUUCUGACUGUGGAACUCAUAGCUAGAUUAAGAGAUGGACAGAGGGAUGGAAGGAUAGAAAGAUGAAGGGAUGAAUAUGGAUAUAGAUAUAUAAAUAUAGUUCUCAUUUCACUCUGCUAUUUGUAAAUAAUGAAGAAUACUAAAUGAACCUGUAAGUAUACCUUUGACUGGAUAAAGAGACCUCCUUUGAUAUGAGCUCUUAAUGAAAAUAAAAUCAGCUAAUUCGA